GACGAACGCUGGCGGCGUGCCUAAUACAUGCCAGUCGAACGCACUCUCGUUUAGAUUGAAGGAGCUUGCUCCUGAUUGAUAAACAUUUGAGUGAGUGGCGGACGGGUGAGUAACACGUGGGUAACCUGCCCUAAAGUGGGGGAUAACAUUUGGAAACAGAUGCUAAUACCGCAUAAAACCUAACACCGCAUGGUGUAGGGUUGAAAGAUGGUUUCGGCUAUCACUUUAGGAUGGACCCGCGGUGCAUUAGUUAGUUGGUGAGGUAAAGGCUCACCAAGACCGUGAUGCAUAGCCGACCUGAGAGGGUAAUCGGCUACACUGGGACUGAGACACGGCCCAGACUCCUACGGGAGGCAGCAGUAGGGAAUCUUCCACAAUGGACGAAAGUCUGAUGGAGCAACGCCGCGUGAGUGAAGAAGGUUUUCGGAUCGUAAAACUCUGUUGUUGGAGAAGAAUGUAUCUGAUAGUAACUGAUCAGGUAGUGACGGUAUCCAACCAGAAAGCCACGGCUAACUACGUG
rnacentral:rRNA from 1 species